rnacentral:lncRNA from 1 species
GUGAAUCUGCCUUCUCUUCCCUUCCUGCAAAGGAGUCAGAAGCAUGGAAUUCAGUGGCCGCAGGAGCUCAAGUCGGCUGCAGCCCUUUCAAAGAGGGACCCCGAAGAGGCCUUUCUGCCACCCCAGCCCCAGAGAGGCUAUGAGGCUCUACAAGCAGCAGAGAGAAUGAUACGGAGAAAAAUGAGAGGAAACGCUAUUAAACUUGCUUCCUCUAAAGAGCGCUACCCACC